CAUGCAGGCGGCUCAUUACGCAUGGCGUGAAAGCCCCCGGCUCAACCGGGGAGGGUCGUCGUGAACGGGUGAGCUUGAGGGUAUCAGGGGCUGGUGGAAUUCCCGGUGUAGUGGUGAAAUGCGUAGAGAUCGGGAGGAACACCUGUGGCGAAGGCGGCCAGCUGGGAUACACCUGACGCUGAGAUGCGAAGGCGUGGGGAGCGAACG
rnacentral:rRNA from 1 species